UACGUAGGUGGCAAGCGUUGUCCGGAUUUAUUGGGCGUAAAGCGCGCGCAGGCGGUGAGGUAAGUCCGUCGUGAAAUCUCCCGGCUCAACUGGGAGGGUGCGGGGGAGACUGCCUGACUGGAGGCACUCAGAGGCCGGUGGAAUUCCCGGUGGAGUGGUGAAAUGCGUAGAUAUCGGGAGGAACACCUAUGGCGAAAGCAGGCUUCUGGGCCAUCUCUGACGCUGAGCUGCGAAAGCUAGGGGAGCAAACAGG
rnacentral:rRNA from 1 species